CCUGCAACUAAAAACAGAAAUGAAAAUUAACGAGAAAUUUGGUAGGUUUACAAAACUUCUGGCUUACCUCCGUAUCCGAGACCAUGUCCGUAACCCAAACCAUAACCUUUAAAGGUAAGACCGCAAAAUUACAUAACGUUAUUUUUGAAAUUCUCUGAAAUUUAUCGGGAAAAAUUCAAACCUCCGUAACCGGCUCCAUAAAGAGCUCCAUGGCCAGCUCCGUAACCAGCUCCAUAGCCAGCUCCAUAGCCAUAUCCUAGUCCACCAUAUCCAGCACCGUACAGUCCGUUUCCGUACAAUCCAUUUCCAUAGCCCAAGUCCAGCGUAACCGAGUCCACCAUAACCUCCAUACGCUCCGAGGGUACCCUCGGCCGUUUGCAGAUCCUUACCGGUGUCAGAAUCGGUGGCGGCUGCUUGUUGCUCGACGGCUUCAUUUUGCUCUUCGGCGGCCAUGGCAAAAACAAUGCACGCAGCGGCAAUGAAAACCUAUGAAUAAAAUAUUGAGCAAUCAGAAUUUUCACCAUACAGGCGUUUAUAUACUUCAGUGAAAGUCUAAACGAUUGACAGAAAAAUCGCAUUUAAGCAUAGACUGUAUUCACACAACAAAUAGAGUGAAAGGUGUGCAAUUCGGUUUUGUUUUAAAUUUCCACAAAGAUAGGCGAACAACAGAUCUUUUCAUUUGAGUUAGUCGACCGUGUAAGCGUUCGACUAAUAUUGGAUUUAGGGUGGAGAAAAUGACGAUGGGUGAAAGGAAAAAACAGCUGCCAGCCCGUUAGAAAAUAAACUGAAUUGAAGAUCGGAACCUCUAUCAAUAGGUGAUAUGUUUAACAAUCAAAUGAUACAUCGCUCGUGUAUUUCUUAUCCUGUAUUAAGGUAAGAGUAGUCGGAAAUCGACUUAAAAUUCCAGUGGCAGAAAAGUAAUGGUCAACUUCUCUCUGAAGAAUUCGUUGUGAAACUAAUGGAUAUGAAUGGGUGCAAGAAAGGAGGAUAAAUUAUGAUCAACAGAGGAAAAGUUGUUCCUUUACUUAUGUAUUGAAUAAUAACACCGUCGUUACACAAAAAUUGGUGGUGCAAAUGCUUCUAUCGCAUGCGGAUUGACUUUACAUCACCACACAUCUUUUUAGUGGUCUGAAUUGAAUACGAGAGAACAAAUUCUAACGAUUAAGGUAUGCUUCUAUUCCAUUGUAUUCGUGUUCAAUAAGUUCAGUCUACCGUUGUUGAUAUGAGUAAAUAUUACUAUACAGAUCUAUAAAAUGAGUAAUAGGAAUGAUGUUAAUAAGCAAGUCCGUGAUGGCCGUAUCCAUGAGCAUGGCCAUGUCCAAGAGCGUGGGCGUUGCUGUGGCUCUUUGAUCCAUGGCUGAUCACUUUGUUGAUGCUCGUAUAACCGGAAUUGGCGUGGUUGUGUCCGUGGUUGUGUCCAUAGUUGGAUCCGUAACCAGCUCCAUAACCUAUGAUAACACGAUAGCGUUAAAAUACGUCUCCAAUUAAAGGUGAGACCUAAAAUGAGUUUGUUUACCUCCGUAUCCAAGGCCAUGUCCACCAUAACCGAGUCCUAAACCGUAACCUUUUUUUUUAAAUUAACAUAUUAGUUUUAAUGUGAUUUAUUAAAAUUUACAAAGUAUCCAUUUAUGAUUCAAACCUCCGUAACCAGCUCCAUGACCGUAUCCAUGUCCACCAUAUCCAGCGCCAUAAAGUCCGUUACCGUACAAUCCAUUGCCAUAGCCAAGUCCGCCGUAUCCGAGUCCGCCGUAACCAAGUCCACCAUAACCUCCGUACACUCCCAGGGUACCCUCGGCCGUUUGCAGAUCCUUGCCACUUUCGGAGUCAGUGACGGCCACUUGUUGCUCGACGGCUUCCCUUUUGCUCUUCAGCAGCCAUGACGAAAACGAUGCAUGUAACAGCAAUCAAGACCUUUGAGUAGUAAAAGAAAGUUAAAAAAUUAUUAGUAAUUAGCGCAAUGAUUUGUCAUAAUUCUAAUUGGUGAUUAUUUUUACUUUUAGUUGCAAAUGGAUUUACCUUGAAGGCGAUCAUCUUUAAUUGAGAUAGGAGCUUUGUACUGGAACACUUUGAAUUUCAGUUGGAGUGUGAAUUUGACAUCGAUCGUCACUGUUUAUAUACUUUGGUGAAAGCCAUGGUAUUUGACCGAGAAGUCGUGUUAAAGCAUGUCGAAUGGUGAUAAACAAUUACUGUGUAAGCAAAGUGAAAGGUUUACCGAUUGAAUUGAUCAUAGACAUGCACAACAGAGGAGGUAAAUAGGUAAUCCUUUCUUUCGAUGCACUAGACCAUAACAACAUAAUAAGUUUAGUGAUAGUAGCAAGUGAUAGUUAAUUUUAUUUGCAGGAACUCGAUCAAGAUAAAGGAAUAAGUUUUGUUUGAAUACAUCAUUUUCUUUUUUUACGAAAAGAAAAGAGGAUUUUGAGCCGUGCCAUUUGUUGUACUUUUGCCUUUGGCAAUUUUUCAGAAGGUAAGAACGUCAAGGUGUCUUCGUUGCCCAGCCCUUUCUUGUGAUCAUUACCAUUUUACAGAAUACCAAUGAAAAAAUGAUAGAUUCAUGUCAAGUUCAACUAGAAUGAGUACCUUGCACUAGACAAACCUGUUGUAUGGAUUUUGCGAAUAGUGUAGUAUCUUAAUCGGAGCUAUACGUGUAUUAGUAUUAUGCAGUUGCAUGAAUUUCAUUGAAAUCGAUAUCCAAAUAGCCUUCUUAUUAUUCGUGAGGUGACGAGAAAAAACCAAUGCUCUUACGAACAUGAGGAACUGUUUAUUCGUAUAACAACAAAGGUAUAACAAAGGUUAUGUUGAAAGCGUGUUAGUUAAAUAUAUAGCGGUAGUAUAAAUUUGAAAUGAAAAUAAGGUAUAAGCCUAUGGCUAUUGAAUAAGAAAAUUUCAAUUUUGGUUGUGUGAUCACGUUUCUGCGUGCACAAGUCUUUUUUAACUCUAGAAACCAAUAACGACGAACAUCCACAGCUAAACUUGGAUGUUUGUCGUAAAAUCUUUCAAAAGUUAGCAACGUCUAUUAGUCAAAGUAUAAUAUAAAAUAAAAAAGGAUGUUGAUUAUAAGUAAAUUUAAAAAAUGUGAAGAGCAGUAAGACUACGUUAGUUACGACUUGCAAAUAUGCCAAUAGCACUUGAAGUUUGAUUGAAACCUGGCCGUCCUUUUUAACUGAAUAUCAUCACAGAAUAAUUUUCGUGCAAGUCACUAGUUUUAGGCAUUCAGAAAUAUGUGGUUAGGUACUGCGUGUGAAGAUGAAAAGUCGAAUUCUACAAACAGGGAAAUACUGAAAGACAAUUAGAAAAUAGCGAUGUGAUAAUGUAAACGAUAAAUUCAGUUGAUGAAAUUAAUUUUGUGUAGAGUUUACGUUUACUAAUAAAGUU
rnacentral:lncRNA from 1 species